AUGUAACCGGACCUUACCGGUGCCGUAAAACGCAUCGGUUUGGAAAGGGAGAUAUCAUAUACCCUGUGUUUAUUUACCUUUGUUGCUUUGGCGGGCCGUUCUUCCAGGCGUCGGCCCCGGCUGAUCGCGCCCGCCAGAGGACCCAAACUCUUUUAUCAGUGAUGUCUGAGUACUAUAUAAUAGUUA
rnacentral:misc_RNA from 1 species